UACGGGGGGUGCGAGCGUUGUCCGGAAUCACUGGGCGUAAAGGGUGCGUAGGCGGGUUAUUAAGUCAGAGGUGAAAUCCUGGAGCUCAACUCCAGAACUGCCUUUGAUACUGAUAGUCUUGAGUAUGGGAGAGGUGAGUGGAACUGCGAGUGUAGAGGUGAAAUUCGUAGAUAUUCGCAAGAACACCAGUGGCGAAGGCGGCUCACUGGCCCAUUACUGACGCUGAGGCACGAAAGCGUGGGGAGCAAACAGG
rnacentral:rRNA from 1 species